rnacentral:rRNA from 1 species
UCUACCUACGGGACGCAGCAGUGGGGAAUAUUGCACAAUGGGGGAAACCCUGAUGCAGCGACGCCGCGUGAGCGAAGAAGUAUUUCGGUAUGUAAAGCUCUAUCAGCAGGGAAGAAAAAUGACGGUACCUGAGUAAGAAGCACCGGCUAAAUACGUGCCAGCAGCCGCGGUAAUACGUAUGGUGCAAGCGUUAUCCGGAUUUACUGGGUGUAAAGGGAGCGCAGGCGGUGCGGCAAGUCUGAUGUGAAAGCCCGGGGCUCAACCCCGGGACUGCAUUGGAAACUGCCGGGCUGGAGUGUCGGGGG